rnacentral:tRNA from 1 species
GUCCAGGGUAGCCUAGUGGUCAUGGCAUCUGCCCAGUAAGCGGAAGGUCGUGGGUUCGAUUUCCAUCCCUUGACA